rnacentral:rRNA from 1 species
CAUGGCUCAGGAUGAACGCUAGCGGCAGGCCUAACACAUGCAAGUCGAGGGAGAAGCCUUUCGGGGCAGAAACCGGCGCACGGGUGCGUAACGCGUAUGCAACCUACCUUUUACAGGGGGAUAGCCCGAAGAAAUUUGGAUUAAUACCCCAUAAUAUUAUUGGACGACAUCGUUUGAUAAUUAAAGCUGAGGCGGUAGAAGAUGGGCAUGCGUCCUAUUAGCUAGUUGGAGUGGUAACGGCACCCCAAGGCUACGAUAGGUAGGGGUCCUGAGAGGGAGAUCCCCCACACUGGUACUGAGACAGGGAUCAGACUCCUACGG